rnacentral:rRNA from 1 species
UACACACCGCCCGUCACACCAUGGGAGUCAGUUGCUCCAGAAAUGGCCGUGCUAACCCGCAAGGGAGGUAGGCCCUUAAGGAGUGACUGGUAACUGGGUG